rnacentral:rRNA from 1 species
UUCGGCCAUAGUGGCGCACGGGUGAGUAACGCGUGGGAACCUGCCCAGCAGUGGGGAAUAACUUCGGGAAACCGGGGCUAAUACCGCAUACGCCCUUAGGGGGAAAGAUUUAUUGCUGUUGGAGGGGCCCGCGUCCGAUUAGUUUGUUGGUGGGGUAAUGGCCUACCAAGACUACGAUCGGUAGCUGGUCUGAGAGGAUGAUCAGCCACACUGGGACUGAGACACGGCCCAGACUCCUACGGGAGGCAGCAGUGGGGAAUAUUGGACAAUGGGCGCAAGCCUGAUCCAGCAAUGCCGCGUGGGUGAUGAAGGCCUUAGGGUUGUAAAGCUCUUUCGGCGGGGACGAUGAUGACGGUACCCGCAGAAGAAGCCCCGGCUAACUUCGUGCCAGCAGCCGCGGUAAUACGAAGGGGGCUAGCGUCGUUCGGAAUUUACUGGGCGUAAAGAGCACGUAGGCGGUUCGUUAAA